rnacentral:rRNA from 1 species
GACGAACGCUGGCGGCGUGCUUAACACAUGCAAGUCGAACGAUGAAGCCGGAGCUUGCUCUGGCGAAUUAGUGGCGAACGGGUGAGUAACACGUGAGUAACCUGCCCUUGACUCUGGGAUAACUGCGGGAAACUGUAGCUAAUACCGGAUACGACCCUCGGAGGCAUCUCCUGGGGGUGGAAAGAAUUUCGGUCAAGGAUGGACUCGCGGCCUAUCAGCUAGUUGGUGAGGUAAAGGCUCACCAAGGCGACGACGGGUAGCCGGCCUGAGAGGGUGACCGGCCACACUGGGACUGAGACACGGCCCAGACUCCUACGGGAGGCAGCAGUGGGGAAUAAUGCACAAUGGGCGCAAGCCUGAUGCAGCAACGCCGCGUGAGGGAUGACGGCCUUCGGGUUGUAAACCUCUUUUAGCAGGGAAGAAGCGAAAGUGACGGUACCUGCAGAAAAAGCACCGGCUAACUACGUGCCAGCCGCCGCCGUAA